rnacentral:tRNA from 1 species
AGCCUUGAAUUUAAUAUGUUAGAUUGCAAAUCUAUAAAAGCAGGUUAAUUACCAGCCGGGGCUU